rnacentral:rRNA from 1 species
ACUGCUCAGUAACACGUGGACAACCUACCCUUGGGUCUGGCAUAAUCCUGGGUAACUGGGUAUAAUUCCAGAUAGGUCACAGAUGCUGGAAUGCACUGUGGCCGAAAGCUCCGGCGCCCAAGGAUGGGUCUGCGGCCUAUCAGGGUUGUAGUGGGUGUAACGGACCUACUAGCCUACGACGGGUACGGGUUGUGAGAGCAAGAGCCCGGAGAUGGAUUCUGAGACACGAAUCCAGGCCCUACGGGGUGCAGCAGGCGCGAAAACUUUACAAUGCGGGAAACCGUGAUAAGGGAAUCUCGAGUGCCAGCAUAUAAUGUUGGCUGUCCAGAUGCCUAAAAAGCAUCUGUUAGCAAGGGCCGGGCAAGACCGGUGCCAGCCGCCGCGGUAACACCGGCGGCCCGAGUGGUAACCGCUUUUAUUGGGUCUAAAGGGUCUGUAGCCGGCCAAGUAAGUCCCUUGGGAAAUCUGGCAGCUUAACUGUCAGGCUGCUAGGGGAUACUGCUAGGCUUGGGACCGGGAGAGGUGAGAGGUACCUUGGGGGUAGGGGUGAAAUCUUGUGAUCCUCGGGGGACCACCAGUGGCGAAGGCGUCUCACCAGAACGGGUCCGACGGUAAGGGACGAAAGCUAGGGGCACGAACCGGAUUAGAUACCCGGGUAGUCCUAGCCGUAAACGAUGCUCGCUAGGUGUCAGUCACGGUGCGACCGUGAUUGGUGCCGUAGGGAAGCCGUGAAGCGAGCCACCUGGGAAGUAUGGCCGCAAGGCUGAAACUUAAAGGAAUUGGCGGGGGAGCAC